rnacentral:rRNA from 1 species
UACGGAGGGUGCAAGCGUUGUCCGGAAUCACUGGGCGUAAAGGGCGCGUAGGCGGCUCGGUAAGUAGGGGGUGAAAUCCUGCGGCUUAACCGCAGGGCUGCCUUCUAAACUGUCGAGCUUGAGCACGGUGGAGGCAGAUGGAAUUCCCGGUGUAGCGGUGGAAUGCGUAGAGAUCGGGAAGAACAUCAGUGGCGAAGGCGGUCUGCUGGGCCGUUGCUGACGCUGAGGCGCGACAGCGUGGGGAGCAAACAGG